rnacentral:tRNA from 3 species
GCGGCCGUGGCGAAGUUGGUCAACGCACCGGAUUGUGGCUCCGGCACUCGCGGGUUCAAGUCCCGUCGGUCGCCCCA